rnacentral:rRNA from 1 species
GAUGAACGCUGGCGGCGUGCCUAAUACAUGCAAGUCGAGCGAACAGACGAGGAGCUUGCUCCUCUGACGUUAGCGGCGGACGGGUGAGUAACACGUGGAUAAACUACCUAUAAGACUGGGAUAACUUCGGGAAACCGGAGCUAAUACCGGAUAAUAUAUUGAACAGCAUGGUUAAAUAGUGAAAGACGGUUUUGCUGUCACUUAUAGAUGGAUCCGCGCCGCAUUAGCUAGUUGGUAAGGUAACGGCUUACCAAGGCGACGAUGCGUAGCCGACCUGAGAGGGUGAUCGGCCACACUGGAACUGAGACACGGUCCAGACUCCUACGGGAGGCAGCAGUAGGGAAUCUUCCGCAAUGGGCGAAAGCCUGACGGAGCAACGCCGCGUGAGUGAUGAAGGUCUUCGGAUCGUAAAACUCUGUUAUUAGGGAAGAACAAAUGUGUAAGUAACUAUGCACGUCUUGACGGUACCUAAUCAGAAAGCCACGGCUAACUACGUG